UAAGACCUGGAUUAUAACUAAUUUCCCUUUAACCAUUUUAAGUAUCCUUACGGUGGCUUUUGGGCCUAUAACACUUAAUAAGCAGUUUUCCAUUUGCCCAAAGAGUGAUUGUAAUAUCUACCCAUGUAUAAAUAGGCAUUUUAAUUCAGAUUGUCAUAGGUAUUGAGAUAGAUAAUAUAUUGUUUGUCGUUAAGAACAGAAGUAGAUGUUGUUACUAUAAUGCAUUCCGAGAAACUUAAUUCAUUUCAUUAAAAAAAAAAAAAAGAGUACUGUAAUGAGUUGGAUGUAUAGCUUUGGCUGAAUGUGUCCCUUGUGCUUUUAGGAGGAUGGAGCAUGUUUGCCAUCCAGUAGUGACAGCUCGAAGUGCACAGAUGCUGAUUUCGGAGAAAUGAAGGAGCCUUUGACCGUGAACAUACUAACCAGGUAGUUCCGAUGAAAAGAUGCUGCUGGCUGGAGAGGUCUGGUGAAUCUCACACAAAAAAGGGUCACCACAAACAAAGAAGAAGUGGACCAAAGAGGAAAUCGAAGCUGUUGAAAGGACCUUAAUGGACUACAUCAAUGGUGGUCAGUGGUCAGAAAUGCAUCACGACAUCGUCACUGGCCGAUCAAGGGAUGAGUUGUCAAAAUAUAUAUAAAAAACUGAAUUAAAAAAAAUUAAAAAAAAGGUAAGCCGCAUUUUCAUCAGAUGGAAGAUUAAAUUCCUGGUGGACUGCCAGCACGUUUACAGACAUUGUUUACAGUAGUCUUAUUGCUCCCUGUUCUGUAAUUGUUAACUUUAUAUAAUAUUUGAAAGUUGAUGAUGAUGCUUUAAACUGCAUAGUUUAAAAAAAAUAAAGAUGCAAUAUAUCAAACAAUAUUAUAGAGUGGGGUUUAAUAUACAUAGAUAAUGAGUCAUUAUACAAUGAUAAUGAGUCAUUAUACAAUUAUAACAUUCAAUGGUGUAUAUAUUCACCAUGAAUUGACAAAAUAUGUAUUAAGUGCCUUAGAGUUUCUAAAAAGUACCCUUUAUUGAGUACCUUACCUUGUUUGAGACACAUUUUGAACACUGCCCCCUGGUGUGAUUUUGUAUUAUGACAUAAUUGGACGGUCCCCACCGGAAUAGAGAAACCAGAAAAAUAUUCAACUCUAUAAAUUUGAGAAAUUUUGAGAUUUAAGGUGAUAUUGGGGUUUGAAAAAAAUUAAGGAAAAUGAUUUGAUUGAAAGUAUGCCAUUAUUCUGUUAAAAAAAAUGAGGUCCCCACGCUUCACCUCUGUGCAUAAGUCCCCACCGGCAUAGAAGA